UACAGAGGGUGCAAGCGUUGUUCGGAAUCAUUGGGCGUAAAGAGCUUGUAGGCGGUUUGUCGCGUCUUCUGUGAAAACUCACAGCUCAACUGUGAGCUUGCAGGGGAUACGGGCAGACUAGAGUACUUCAGGGGAGACUGGAAUUCCUGGUGUAGCGGUGAAAUGCGCAGAUAUCAGGAGGAACACCGGUGGCGAAGGCGGGUCUCUGGGAAGUAACUGACGCUGAGAAGCGAAAGCGUGGGUAGCGAACAGG
rnacentral:rRNA from 1 species